rnacentral:lncRNA from 10 species
GAGAUGCGACUUGCUCUGUUGUCCAGACUUGAGUGCAGUAGCUCAAUCAUAGCUCACUGCAGCCUUGAAUUCCGGGCUACCACACCCAGCUUGUUACUGUAUUUUUGAAUGUCUGAAGUGAAGAAUGAAUCUAAGUGGGGACUGCUUGGCUCGGUCAUUCAGUUACAUCCACAGCACAGAGAAACUGAGGAUUCUUUGUUGAUGAGGUGUCUGGAUCGUAUCUAUUCCAGAGUAAAGUCAUGAUGGCUUUAUGACGUUCUGAGGUGCGUUUUGCAGGAGGGGACGUUGUUGAGUUCCAAACAGGUGAGGUAUUGCACACUAGCAAACACAUGAGAAGAAGGCGGAGGAAUUGGGAGAAAAAUAAAAAGAAUGCAGCAGGCCAGGUUAGCAGGAACGUUAAGACGGUGACGGAGAACAGCAAAGCCUGGAAGCAAGCCGCCGUGGAGAAGGAAGAACUGUGCUGAGGUGAGUUGCUGUGACAACCCAGGCUGAUUUUGAGUAUGUAAACACCAAACCUUGUUCUUGGCUGCCGCUCAGCUCAGCGGGCUUUGGAGCCUGGCUGCCCAGCCACCACUUCAGGGAUGUGCUGUUUUUAGGGAGGGUGUGACCCUACAAGAUGUUUCUGAGCCUUAAUGCUUUUUUGUGGGAGCCAAUGCUUAAUAUGGUGGCUAGAGUUACCUGAAGAAUCUAUAAAAAAUGACCGAAGCCCCUUCUGCUCACCCUCCCACUCAUCAGAGUUGGCUUCCGUGGGUCUGAGUGGGAAGGACUUCCACUUUUAACAGCAUGAGACACGGUUCUGACAGCCCCACUAACAUCCGAAUGCAGGCCGCAGUGCUCAGUCCUGAGGAUAAAAUUCUCAGCUUGGAGAUUGGGGUUGAUGCCUUACCUUUAUUAGCACCAGAUGGGUUUGUAACAACCCAGAGGUUUGUAAGAACUUGU